GAUGAACGCUGGCGGCGUGCCUAAUACAUGCAAGUUGAGCGAACGGACGUGAAACUUGUAUCUCUGAUAUUAGCGGCGAACGGGUGAGUAACACGUGGAUAACCUGCCUAUAAGCCUGGGAUAACUUCUGGAAACCGGUGCUAAUACCGCAUAAUAUUUUUAACCGCAAGGUUUAAAAGUGAAAGACGGUAUUGCUGUCCCUUAUGGAUGUAUCGCCGCUGAAUUAGCUAGUGGUUAAGUAAACGCCUUACCAAGGCAUCGUACAUAACCGACCUUAGAAGGUUGAUCGGCCACACGGGAACUGAGAAACGGUCCAGACUCCUCCGGGAGGCAGAAGUAGGGAACCUUCCGAAUUGGGCGAAAGCCGGACGGAGCACGGCGGCGGGGUGGAUGAAGUUCUUCGAACCUAAAAACUUUGUUAUUAGGAAAGAAGAUAUGGGUAAGUAACUGCGCACAAAGUGACGGUACCUAAUCAGAAAGCGACGGCUAACUACGUG
rnacentral:rRNA from 1 species